rnacentral:rRNA from 1 species
GUGGGGAAUAUUGGACAAUGGGGGGAACCCUGAUCCAGCCAUGCCGCGUGUGUGAAGAAGGCCUUUUGGUUGUAAAGCACUUUAAGCGAGGAGGAGGCUACCGAGAUUAAUACUCUUGGACAGUGGACGUUACUCGCAGAAUAAGCACCGGCUAACUCUGUGCCAGCAGCCGCGGUAAUACAGAGGGUGCAAGCGUUAAUCGGAUUUACUGGGCGUAAAGCGCGCGUAGGUGGCCAAUUAAGUCAAAUGUGAAAUCCCCGAGCUUAACUUGGGAAUUGCAUUCGAUACUGGUUGGCUAGAGUAUGGGAGAGGAUGGUAGAAUUCCAGGUGUAGCGGUGAAAUGCGUAGAGAUCUGGAGGAAUACCGAUGGCGAAGGCAGCCAUCUGGCCUAAUACUGACACUGAGGUGCGAAAGCAUGGGGAGCAAACAGGAUUAGAAACCCUUGUAGUCC